rnacentral:rRNA from 1 species
GAUGAACGCUAGCGACAGGCCUAACACAUGCAAGUCGAGGGGCAGAACGAGGUAGCAAUACUUUGGUGGCGACCGGCGCACGGGUGCGUAACGCGUACGCAACCUACCUAUAAUUGGGGGAUAGCUUUCUGAAAAGGAGAUUAACACCGCAUAAGACAAUAGCUUCGCAUGGAGUAGUAGUUAAAUAUUUAGAGAUUAUAGAUGGGCAUGCGUCUGAUUAGAUAGUUGGUAGGGUAACGGCCUACAAAGUCGACGAUCAGUAGGGGUUCUGAGAGGAAGGUCCCCCACACCGGAACUGAGACACGGUCCGGACUCCUACGGGAGGCAGCAGUGAGGAAUAUUGGUCAAUGGGCGAGAGCCUGAACCAGCCAAGUCGCGUGAAGGAAGAAUGUCCUAUGGAUUGUAAACUUCUUUUGUAGGGGGAUAAAAAAGAGUACGUGUACUCUCUUGUAGGUACCCUACGAAUAAGGAUCGGCUAACUCCGUGCCAGCCGCCGCGGUAA